GACGAACCGUGCGAACGUUAUUCGGAAUCACUGGGCUGAAAGGGCGCGUAGACGGGCGACCGCGUCGAUGGCUGAAAGCCCCCGGCUCAACCGGGGAACGGGCCUCGAUACGGGUCGUCUCGAGUGGAGGAGGGGGACCUGGAACUGCCGGUGGAGCGGUGAAAUGCGUUGAGAUCGGCAGGAACGCCUGUGGCGAAAGCGAGGUCCUGGACUCCGACUGACGUUGAGGCGCGAAAGCGUGGGGAGCGAACAGG
rnacentral:rRNA from 1 species